rnacentral:rRNA from 1 species
AUUGAACGCUGGCGGCAGGCCUAACACCUGCAAGUCGAGCGGAUGAAGGGAGCUUGCUCCUGGAUUCAGCGGCGGACGGGUGAGUAAUGCCUAGGAAUCUGCCUGGUAGUGGGGGAUAACGUCCGGAAACGGGCGCUAAUACCGCAUACGUCCUGAGGGAGAAAGUGGGGGAUCUUCGGACCUCACGCUAUCAGAUGAGCCUAGGUCGGAUUAGCUAGUUGGUGGGGUAAAGGCCUACCAAGGCGACGAUCCGUAACUGGUCUGAGAGGAUGAUCAGUCACACUGGAACUGAGUCACGGUCCAGACUCCUACGGGAGGCAGCAGUGGGGAAUAUUGGACAAUGGGCGAAAGCCUGAUCCAGCCAUGCCGCGUGUGUGAAGAAGGUCUUCGGAUUGUAAAGCACUUUAAGUUGGGAGGAAGGGCAGUAAGUUAAUACCUUGCUGUUUUGACGUUACCAACAGAAUAAGCACCGGCUAACUUCGUG